GACGUAGGGUGCGAGCGUUAAUCGGAAUUACUGGGCGUAAAGCGUGCGCAGGCGGUUGUGCAAGACAGAUGUGAAAUCCCCGGGCUUAACCUGGGAACUGCAUCUGAUACUGGAUGGCUUGAGUUCGGGAGAGGGAUGCGGAAUUCCAGGUGUAGCGGUGAAAUGCGUAGAUAUCUUGAGGAACACCGGUGGCGAAGGCGGCAUCCUGGACCGGUAUUGACGCUGAUGCGCGAAAGCCAGGGGAGCAAACGGG
rnacentral:rRNA from 1 species